AUUGAACGCUGGCGGCAGGCCUAACACAUGCAAGUCGAGCGGAUGCAGGGAGCUUGCUCUUGGAUUCAGCGGCGGACGGGUGAGUAAUGCCUCGGAAUCUGCCUGGUAGUGGGGGAUAACGUCCGGAAACGGGCGCUAAUACCGCAUACGUCCUGAGGGAGAAAGUGGGGGAUCUUCGGACCUCACGCUAUCAGAUGAGCCUAGGUCGGAUUAGCUAGUUGGUGGGGUAAAGGCCUACCAAGGCGACGAUCCGUAACUGGUCUGAGAGGAUGAUCAGUCACACUGGAACUGAGACACGGUCCAGACUCCUACGGGAGGCAGCAGUGGGGAAUAUUGGACAAUGGGCGAAAGCCUGAUCCAGCCAUCCCGCGUGUGUGAAGAAGGUCUUCGGAUUGUAAAGCACUUUAAGUAGGGAGGAAGGGCAGUAAGUUAAUACCUUGCUGUUUUGACGUUACCAACAGAAUAAGCACCGGCUAACUUCGUG
rnacentral:rRNA from 1 species